GCUUGUUUUUAGAGGAGGGAGGCCAAAGGUCAUAGGGGAAAGGGCAGCACCCAGCAUCCCCGGUGCAAUACACAGCCAUCUUGGAGUUAUUUUAGGAGAUAAUUCAUGCGGUGACAAACAGCAUGUUUGGUGCUGCAAGAAAGAAGUUUGUAGAGGGCGUGGAGAGUGAUUACCAUGAUGAAAGUCUGUAUUACAGCCAGUCUUCAAUGUUCCCUCAUCGAACAGAAAAAGAUAUGCUGGCAUCUCCAUCACCAUCAACAUCAGGGCAGCUAUCUCAGUUUGGUGCAAGUUUAUAUGGGCAAAGUGCAUUAGGCCUUCCGAUGAGGGGAAUGGGCAACAAUAAUCCUCAGUUAAAUCGCAGCUUAUCACAAGGUACUCAGUUACCAAAUCACGUAACGCCAACAACAGGAGUGCCCACAAUGUCACUUCAUACUCCAUCUUCACCAAGCAGGAACAUUUUGCCUAUGAAUCCCAGGAACAUGAUGAACCAUUCCCAAGUUGGGCAAGGGAUUGGGAUUCCAGGGAGGACGAAUAGCAUGAGCAGCUCUGGUUUAGGCAGUCCAAACAGAAGCUCACCUAGCAUAAUAUGUAUGCCAAAGCAGCAGCCAUCCCGGCAGCCUUUUACAGUGAGCGGUAUGUCUGGAUUUGGGAUGAACAGGAAUCAGGCUUUUGGAAUUAACAAUUCACUUUCAAGUAACAUUUUCAAUGGCACAGAUGGAAGUGAAAAUGUUACGGGGUUAGACCUUUCUGAAUUUCCAGUACUAGCAGACAGAUCCAGAAGGGAAGGAAGUGGUAAUCCAACUCCACUAAUAAAUCCAUUGGCGGGGAGGACUCCAUAUGACACUGGGUUCCUUUCGAAAAUGGGCAUGCUGGGAGCUGUCCGUGUGUCCCGUCUUCAGAAAUCAGUUGGGAUGGUGACAAAACCAGCAAAUGAACAGUCCCAGGACUUCUCAAUCCAUAAUGAAGACUUCCCCGCACUUCCUGGUUCAAACUACAAGGAUCCAACCUCAAGUAAUGAUGAUAGUAAAUCUAAUUUGAAUACACCAGGAAAAAAUGUAUCCAGUACAGACGGACCCAAGUUCCCUGGUGACAAGAGCUCAACGACGCAAAACAACAACCUUCAGAAAAAAGGGAUCCAGGUGUUAUCUGAUGGACGAGUCACUAAUAUUCCGACAGGAAUGGUAACAGAUCAAUUUGGAAUGAUUGGGCUGUUAACAUUCAUUCGGGCAGCAGAGACGGAUCCUGGAAUGGUACAUCUCGCAUUAGGCAGUGACCUUACAACACUAGGCCUCAAUCUAAACUCUCCAGAAAACCUUUAUCCAAAAUUUGCAUCUCCCUGGGCGUCAGCACCCUGUCGACCUCAAGAUAUUGAUUUUCAUGUUCCAUCGGAGUAUCUAACAAACAUACACAUUAGGGACAAGCUUGCUACAAUAAAACUUGCUCGUUACGGAGAAGACCUCCUUUUCUAUCUGUACUACAUGAAUGGCGGAGAUGUCUUACAGUUGCUUGCAGCAGUAGAGUUAUUUAACCGAGACUGGAGGUACCACAAAGAAGAGCGAGUCUGGAUCACCAGGGCCCCAGGAAUGGAGCCAACAGUAAAGACCAACACCUAUGAAAGGGGGACAUACUAUUUCUUUGACUGUCUUAACUGGAGAAAGGUUGCUAAAGUAAGAGCUGAUGUACUAAUUGAUUUUAUAUAGUGCAGAAACAGCUGGCCUAUUGUACAGGAGACAGAUGAAUUACUAAUGAUGUUUCUUUACUGGAGAUUAAGCAUUAUCUGUUUGCUGGAGAUAAAUGUUUUUUGUAUGCAAUCUUGUGUAUUUCUUUUCUGACCAGCAAAUCUGAGCUGUAGUUCUCUAUAAUAAAGAUAGCUGAAAUAGCCUAGAUUUGUGUGCUCAUGUUUUAACCUUUAAAACUGUUAGCAAGUUCCAGCCACAGGCUUCGGCUUUGAUUUUUAAUGAUUUCCACUUCGGACUGAAGAAGAAUUGCAGCGCACAAUAUAAAAGUAUUUGGCCCAUUAUACCUUUAAUAUUCUUCGUUUUGUUUCAUUUUCUCUCACUUUCUCUGUAUCUUUUUACAUUCUGGAGCACAUAUAAUCAACUGUCAUAAGUAGAUUUAUUUCUAUAAUCUUAACUGAAAUGUUAAUGUUUACAAUGUUAACUAAGUUUUUAUAAAAUGGUUUCAUUCUUUCUCACUGCUUAUUUUGUCUUUUCCUUUAAGCUAAAUAUUUUGCAAUCACUUAAAUUUUAAUCUAAUAUUACCUGUUGACUUCUUAUGCUUUAAAGCUGCAAUUAUGUUGGAUUCUUUUGCUAUGAUUGUUCCAUCUUUUAAUUUCUAAUCAAGCCUAGAUAUAUUUAAACUUCAGUGGAACUGGUCCAAAAGUAUAGCUUUUCUGAUCCUGAACUUUUCAAUGGUCUUAAAUCUGAUUCCCCGGGGGGGGUCUUGAAUGAUGCAAUAUUUGUUGGUUGCCUAUUGAAGGAAGUGAUAAACUGAAUUCACCUUCAAAAGGGUGGUCAACCUGGGCGCUUGAAGAAGUUAAUUAGGAAAGGACGUACUUCUGCUGAGUUUGUGAAGGCCUGUUUUUAAGCCUACUGAAUGAUAUGAAGCAAGCAUUGCACCUGAGAGUUUAUCAAGAGCAGUUCAUCACUUGCCAAACUAAUGAUACUCACUAAACUAUAACUUAAUAAAGUCUUAACCAAGGCCAGUGGAUUGGUUUAAAGAAUUUGGAUGGAAUCACUGAUAAAAUCCUGAGAUGUUUUUAAAAAUCCAGGACUCCCAAUGAAACAGAAUUUACUUAUAUUCAUAGUCACUGGUGCCUGGUUUCAGUCUGUAUUCACCCGAUAGAAACUGAAACACCUUACUGCAAAAAAAAAGAGCAACGUUUCACUGCAACCGGUUACAAUGGACAAAAAAGAUUCAGAUACAUCACAUAUCCAGCAUCUGUGCAGUUAAUACAACAGAAGCAAACUCCUUGAGAUAAGAAUCUCUCAAUCCUUCAAUGAAAGACCAGUUACAGUAUAAUUAUGACCAAUGUAAAAUCUCAUUGAAGUCUCACAUUAGUUCAAUAUUGAAGUUGAGGUGUACCAGUUAAUGGAGUAGCCUGAUGCAGGUCACUUGUGAAUGUAUUUAAAAAACACAAACAUUUUCUGCCCCAUUGAAGAACAUCCAAGUAUCUAUUGUAACUGCACUUUCCAUUCAAAAUUUUCUGCAUAUAUUAAAGGUAUGUACAAGUUUAACUUGAAAAGGUGUUUUGGUUAAUUUGUAUUCUUUAGCAUUAAAUUAAAUUGUUUUUGCAAAUUAAACUGAAGUUACUUCAAAUAUAUUUUAAGUAAAAGAAAAUGCUGCUGGAAAAAUAUUUUCUUUUAUUCUAUUUCUACAAAUUAAAUCUUUUACCUUUGAAAUGAUCAGCAUUUUGAUACAAAUCAAGUGAUAUUUUGUAGGAUUUGAAAGGUCCAACUAAUUUUCAAAAACUGUGCAUCAAUUGCUGGAUCUUUGAAGGUAUGUGCUGUUCAUAAAAGAAUAAAAUUACUGAAGUCACAAGUUUUCCCCUUUCAGAUCUGAUUUUGAAAAUGUUUCAGGUUCCUGUCAAGCAGGUCCACUUCAGACAUUACUGAAGGUGUGGUUUAAUGAUUUUUUUGUUGAAUUGUAACCAGAUUGAAUAGAUCAUACAAACCAUUCUUGAAGCCAUUGUUGUUGACAGAAUCGCAGACGGUGUACAGGAGCGAGAUAGAUCGGCUGAUAGAGUGGUAUCGCAACAACAACCUUUGCACUCAACAGCAGCAAGAGCAAAGAAUUGAUUGUGGACUGCAGGAAGAGGAAGUUGGGAGAACACACACUAGCCCUUAGUUGAGGGGUCAAUGCUGGAAUGGGAGUUCCACCUGGAGUAUGAUAAACUAGAGGAAAGACCUCAUCUGCCAUCAUCUUUGAACUACAACCCUGCUCAGCAAGCCUUCUAAAGACUUAACUGUUCAUGGGGUAUGGCUGUCUCAGCACAAUACUCAAACUGCAGAAACCGAAGUGGCUCAGGCAUCCUGGUUUUUAUUCUUUGAGGAUCUGGCAAUUGGCUCAUGUGGAUGGAUCGACAUUUUGAAGUCCUGCCUUAGUAAUUAUGUGCUGCCCAACACAACUGAAUUUGUAUUUUUUUCUGUUUUUUUAAUUAUUUUGAGCAGGGUAUGUUUAAAAAAAGAACAACACAAAAAUAAUUUUUCAGCCUAUCAGCAGAUUAUUCUGCUAAAGGACAAGUGGACCGACAAUACUUUCAUUGCUAAAUUUCCAAAGUGUAAAAAAUUUAAGAAGUUUGCAUUGUUCAUUGUAGCAUAACUGGUAAUAAAAAAAAUGUGUAGUGCAUUUUUAUGUGAAGAUCCUCUUGUAUUUCAUUUGGAAAGAUAAGCAGCCUGCGUUUGAUUUGUUCGUUUUACUUUCCCCUAAUGUUUUUGAAUGGCAUUUCUGUCAAGUUAAAUGCAAGAACAUUUGACUGUCUAAGUGAACGUUAUUGCCACGACCUCUGGACAUUUUCCAUGGUUGUGUAUCACUGGGCUUCAUCUUUCCAGAAUGAGCAAAACACUGUCCAGUCUUUGUUACAAUUUUGUAAUAAAAGUGUACAUUUUUUUAAUUUUUGGACAUCACAUGAAUAAAGAUAUGUAUGUACGAAUGUGUAUAUAUUAUAUAUAUGACAUCUAUUUUGGAAAAUAUUUGCCCUGCUGUACCUCAUUUUUCGGAGGUGUGCAUGGAUGCAAUACAUGAAAACAGGACAUUUCGGGAACUGCUGAGCAGGGGACCGCUGUGUCGCCCUGUGCACUUAAGGGCCAGAUUUUCAGCAGCCAAGGACAUCCAUACCCAAUUGAACAUGAUGGGACUUCAGGAAGUGAACUGAGACAAUUCACAAUGGCUGGUUGAACAGCAGCAUUUCAUAGGAAAAAAAAUAAUUAAAAAAAUCAAUCUUGUAUUUUCUGACCACAUUAAAGCUUCUUCUCUUUGUAAUAAAGUAGAAAAGCUGUCCUAAUUGCAGUGUUGCCUUUAAUUUGAAUUUUCAAACUGUAUUUUUAAAUUUGUUGAAU